rnacentral:tRNA from 1 species
GGGGUUGUGGCUCAGGGGUAGAGCGCUUGCCUAGGAGCAUGCAUGAGGUUCGAUCCUCAGCACCA